CUCCCGGAUAUUUCUUAGGAUUCAUGUUCUUCAGCUGCUGCAUCAGAAGUUUCUUCUUCUGUAGGGUUUGCUUCAUCUUCUUUGGGUUCGGUUUUGUCUUCCUCAGCCGUCGAGCGACGGUGGUUAGCCGCGGCUUGGAGGACAUGAUUGUAAUUACCUUUCUCAAGGAAAAGCUGGCUGAAGUGGACCUUACAGUAAAGGACGCCAUCGAGAGCAGCAUAUGAAGAAUGUGUUAAUGGACAACCACUAUGUGCACAUCUGAAGCAAGUCUUGUGAAGGAUGAUAACCUGUUUGGAGCCUUCGUCUAUGCAAAUGAUCACACCAAGAAAUCAGAUUAGAAAACAAAAAGAGAAAACAGAGGAAUGUUGAUGAAUUAUGUGCUUACCGCAUCAUUCGAUUUCUCGGUCUUUCCAGCUGUAAAAGACCAAGAAGAGAAAGUAGCAAAGAUUGUUAGCUUUUCAAGAGAGGUUAAUAAAAAACAGAGCAAAGAAAACAGAGGAUUUGUUAGCAACCUGUUUGGAAAUUCUUGCUGAAAUUUCCAGAUUCUUUGAAGAGCUGUUCAAAAUGGGUCUUGCAAUACAAAACUCCAUCCAUGGAUGAGUAGUUACAUAUCUGAAAAGGAGAAGAAAGAUGUUCUCUUUGUGUUUUUUUUUUCAUGAGGGAACAAUGGAGGAAAAGGAAGAUAGAUAGAUACCACGAGAGUGCCAUUGCAAUGGCUGCACCUGAAGCAUGACUUGUGAUAAGGCAUUCCUUCCAAAGUCAUCAAGUCCAUAACGUAUACCGUCUUGUCACACGCCUUGCAUUUGUCUGUUGUCCCUGUAAACGCCGCCAUUGGUAUCUCUUCUUCUUCUUCUUUCAAAUUACGAAAGAGUUGGAAGAUGGAUCAAAAGUUUUCUUCUUCUUUUUGUUGUUCGUUUAGACACGAAUCAAGGUUUGUUUUGCCAUCAUCUAUG